CCUACCACGGGGGUUAAACAUGGAAUACGGCCCAACCACGGGUAUAAUGGUGAUUUAAAACCCUACCACGGGGAUGAAACAUGGUAUACGGCCCAGCCACAAGUAUAAUGGUGGUUUAUAACCCUACCACGGGGGUGAAAUAUGCUAUAUGGCCCAGCCACGGGUAUAAUGGUGGUUUAUAACCCU